rnacentral:miRNA from 1 species
AAGAGAUUGUAGUCACCCAC